rnacentral:rRNA from 1 species
UUAACACUUGCCAGUCGAGCGAUGAAACUACUUCGGUAGUGAAAUAGAGGCGAACGGGUGAGGAACACGUGAGGAAUCUGCCUUCUACACUGGGAUAACUCCGGGAAACCGGGGCUAAUACCGGAUAUGAAACUUGGUGGCAUCACCGAGUUUGGAAAGUUUUUCGGUAGAAGAUGACCUCGCGGCCUAUCAGCUUGCUGGUGAGGUAAUGGCUCACCAAGGCGACGACGGGUAGCCGGCCUGAGAGGGCGACCGGCCACACUGGGACUGAGACACGGCCCAGACUCCUACGGGAGGCAGCAGUGGGGAAUAUUGGGCAAUGGAGGAAACUCUGACCCAGCGACGCCGCGUGCGGGAUGAAGGCCUUCGGGUUGUAAACCGCUUUCAUUAGGGAAGAAGCGAAAGUGACGGUACCUACAGAAGAAGCACCGGCUAACUAUGUGCCAGCAGCCGCGGUAAUACAUAGGGUGCAAGCGUUGUCCGGAAUUAUUGGGCGUAAGAGCUCGUAGGUGGUUCGUUACGUAGGAUGUGAAAAUCUGGGGCUCAACCCCAGACCUGCAUCCGAUACGGUCGAGCUAGAGUUUGGUAGGGGAGACUGGAAUUCCUGGUGUAGCGGUGGAAUGCGCAGAUAUCACGAGGAACACCAAUGGCGAAGGCAGGUCUCUGGGCCAAUACUGACACUGAGGAGCGAAAGCGUGGGGAGCGAACAGGAUUAGAUACUCUGGUAGUCCACUCCGUAAACGGUGGGCGCUAGUUGUGGGAACCUUCCAUGG